rnacentral:rRNA from 1 species
GGCUAACUACGUGCCAGCAGCCGCGGUAAUACGUAGGGUGCGAGCGUUAUCCGGAAUUAUUGGGCGUAAAGAGCUCGUAGGCGGUUUGUUGCGUCUGUCGUGAAAGUCCGGGGCUUAACCCCGGAUCUGCGGUGGGUACGGGCAGACUAGAGUGCAGUAGGGGAGACUGGAAUUCCUGGUGUAGCGGUGGAAUGCGCAGAUAUCAGGAGGAACACCG